UUUUUAGAGAGUUUGAUCCUGGCUCAGGAUGAACGCUGGCGGCGUGCCUAACACAUGCAAGUCGAACGGAGUCGUUUUGGAAAUCUCUUCGGAGAUGGAAUUCUCGACUUAGUGGCGGACGGGUGAGUAACGCGUGAGCAAUCUGCCUUUAAGAGGGGGAUAACAGUCGGAAACGGCUGCUAAUACCGCAUAAAGCAUUAAAUUCGCAUGUUUUUGAUGCCAAAGGAGCAAUCCGCUUUUAGAUGAGCUCGCGUCUGAUUAGCU
rnacentral:rRNA from 1 species